GCUUUUUAGAUUUUAUUGAUGAAAUCUUACGGGAUUCACUCACAGGCCAAGGAGCGCAUAUGCAAUCUAAUCCAAUCUGGUGUUGAAAGUGGUGCCAGGCUAUUGUUGGAUGGGCGAGAUAUAGAGGUCCCUGCAGGUUAUGAGCAUGGCAAUUUUAUUGGCCCUACUAUCUCAGCAAAUGUUACAGCUGACAUGGAGUGCUACAAGAUAUGGCGAUGGCUCUUCUAUAUUUACUACAUCUGGGUAGCUGCACGGAAAUUUCAGACAGAGAUUGAGGCUGACAGAGAUUGAGGCUGGGCAGGUUGGUAUCAACGUUCCUAUUCCAGUUCCCUUGCCCUUUUUCUCUUUUACCGGCAACAAGGCAUCCUUCGUAGGGGAUUUGAACUUCUAUGGCAAGGCAGGUGUCAACUUUUUCACCCAGAUCAAGACAGUAACACAGCAAUGGUGAAAUUUACCAGGCAGCAGUGUUUCUCAAAAGGCAUAGUUGUCUACA